rnacentral:rRNA from 1 species
GAUGAACGCUGGCGGCGUGCUUAACACAUGCAAGUCGAACGGGAAACCUUUUAAUGAAGCUUCGGCAGAUUUAGCUGGUUUCUAGUGGCGGACGGGGGAUUAACGCGUGGGUAACCUGCCUUAUACAGGGGGAUAACAGUCAGAAAUGACUGCUAAUACCGCAUAAGCGCACAGGACCGCAUGGUCCGGUGUGAAAAACCCCGGUGGUAUAAGUGGGACCCGCGUUGGAUUAGCUUGUUGGUGGGGUAACGGCACACCAAGGCGACGAUCCAUACCCGGCAUGUGAGGGUCAACGCCCACACUGGGACUGAGACACGGCACAGACUCCUACGGGAGGCAGCAGUGGGGAAUAUUGCACAAUGGGGGAAAUCAUGAUGCAGCGACGCCGCGUGAAGGAAGAAGUAUCUCGGUAUGUAAACUUCUAUCAGCAGGGAAGAUCGUGACGGUACCUGACCAAGAAGCCCCGGCUAACUACGUG